CCCUUAUAUCACUCAAAAAGAUAAUUAAACCAUUAUUUAUCGCAUCAGUAUGAAGAAACUACCUUCUUAUCCAAAUUUCUUUGGUGUGGAAAGACUUUCAAUUGUUCUCUGAACAAUUGGUUUUUAAUUAUUAUUAUUAUUAUUUUUUUUUUUUUCCGCCAACUUUUGUUCUUGCGAUAAAUGUUUGUUUCGCAAUAUGUCGCUUAGAUAUUUCUCAUAUUGUAUCGUAUAGUUUAUGCGCUUUUAAAUUUCACCCUGCUAAGACGAACAAUUUUCUCUGUAAGAGUUAUCUCCCUAUUCACUGUUUAUCAUGUGUGUGCAUCUCCUUCGUAACAAAAAAAGAUAGCGACAAAAUUCUUUUUACAAAUUGUUC
rnacentral:lncRNA from 1 species